GCCUGGGUGGCUCAGUCGGUUGAGCGUCUGACUUCAGCUCAGGUCAUGAUCUCGCUGGGUUUGUGAGUUUGAGCCCUGCGUCAGGCU
rfam:Felis catus isolate Cinnamon breed Abyssinian chromosome C1, whole genome shotgun sequence.